ACAUACAUGUGUGGCUGCCCCGUGACUUUCAUGUCACUCACGAGCUUUCCACAUCUUCUUUUCAUCCACUCACUCACUCCCUCACACUUCCUCAUUUUCUUCGAUUCUAAAUUUAAACCAUGUUGAAGCAAUCACCAAGCAGAAAUCAAAGGACUAAAAGCUUCAAGUCGCAAAGCUUGGAAGAAAAGUUUUGAAUCCGUACGAACUGAUCGAUGAUACAGAAGAGAGCAAACCCCAAAGAGUUGAAGAGGAAGAACAUGAGGAAGUAGAAGACCUCAUUGACGAAGAAGAUAAAGAGAAGGAGGACGAGAUCCAAGAUGAAGAAGAAAUCAUUGAAAAACAAAACUUGUUGCAAGGUCAAGGUCAAAGUCAAAGAGAAAUAAAC